AUGCCUCAGUACGGCGAGUGAAGCGGCAACAGCUCAAAUUUGAAAUCUGGCCUCUUUGGGGUCCGAGUUGUAAUUUGUAGAGGAUGUUUCGGGCACCGCUCCGGUUUAAAUUUCUUGGAACAGAAUGUCAAAGAGGGUGAGAACCCCGUCUUGGACCGGCAGUAGGGCCCAUGUGAAACUCCUUCGACGAGUCGAGUUGUUUGGGAAUGCAGCUCAAAAUGGGUGGUAAAUUUCAUCUAAAGCUAAAUAUUGGCCAGAGACCGAUAGCGCACAAGUAGAGUGAUCGAAAGAUGAAAAGCACUUUGAAAAGAGAGUUAAACAGUACGUGAAAUUGUUGAAAGGGAAGCGCUUGCAACCAGACUUGCGCGCGGCGGUUCCCCCUUCCUUCUGGUUGGGUUAUUCCGCCGUGUCCAGGCCAACAUCGGUUCUGGGGGUCGGUUAAAGGCCUGGGGAAUGUAUCUACCCUUCGGGCGUAGACUUAUAGCCCCGGGUGUCAUGCGACCUCCCGGGACCGAGGAACGCGCUUCGGCUCGGAUGUUGGCGUAAUGGUUGUCAGCGACCCGUCU
rnacentral:rRNA from 1 species